UAGUAACGGCGAGUGAAGCGGGAUGAGCUCAAGCUUAAAAUCUCCGUGCAAUUUUUGCACGGCGAGUUGUAGCCUAUAGAAGCGUGGUCAGUGCGGGCACUUGGGGUAAGUUCCUUGGAAGAGGACAGCAUGGAGGGUGAUACUCCCGUUCAUCCCUAAGUUGCUUGUGCGUACGACCCGUUUUCUUUGAGUCGCGUUGUUUGAGAAUGCAGCGCAAAGUAGGUGGUAAAUUCCAUCUAAAGCUAAAUAUUGGUGCGAGACCGAUAGCAUACAAGUACCGUGAGGGAAAGAUGAAAAGAACUUUGAAAAUAGAGUUAAAGAGUACCUGAAACUGCUGAAAGGGAACCAAAUCGUUUCCAGUGUCUAUAAUCCGUGGUAUAUUACAUUGGCGAGUGUGUGCGUGCGUGUGCUGUUGCAGUGGCUUUUUGGCCGCGCUUGGCGUGUGUGCUGUGUGUGCUUGCUGGUGCCCUGUACUGCGGUGGGACGUCAAGGUCAGUUCGUAUGCUGCGGGAAAUGACCACCGAGGAGGUAGGGCUUACGCUUGCGUUUGUCUGUUAUAUCUUGGUGGACGAGUCGUCGCGGUUGGGACUGAGGUGCCUACAACGUGCUUUUGAGUGGGCUUGGGUCUCCGUGUGCGCCGUGUGCGGAUAGCUUGCUAUGCGUGUGUGGUUGUGUGUGGAU
rnacentral:rRNA from 1 species